UAAAUAAAUAAAAAAUGUAAAUAGUUAUGGGGCUAGUACACGUUGGGCCAAUCAGUUGGGCCAAGGAGUUGGGCCAACGUGUACAGGACCACUUGGCAUGAGUUUGCGAUUGGCGGUCAGCGUUGGUCUACAAACCGAAUCUUGUCGGUAUUUGGUGCACAAAUCAAAGGAUUUUUGGGACUUGCGCGAUCUGCCAAACAGCUGUUUGGUUAUGAACACUGAACACGUUGUUGUCGUUGAGUUUAAAAUAUUUGUUUUCUCUUCUCACAAUACUGAUACUGUUUAUAAGUAUUAAUUUUAAGGUUGUGCUUUAAUAUGAAUACUUUUUCGGUGUAAAAGCACCGUCGUUUGCGUCAUUGUUUUUUAAUCACUCUUGUUUGGUACACUUUUCUAUAAGCAUUGAACGCAUUGUACAAAUUAAUUGCGGCAGCUGCUACAGUCUCCACAUCCAUAUCCAUAAUCAGAGUUUGUUUUUUGUUUAUCCACUAAGAAAGGUUAAUACAGACUUUUAACUCCACCAACGUGUAAUCACCAUGUAUUCACUGUUCUUACUUGGUCCAACCUAUUGGCCCAACUCAUUGGCCAACUAGUUGGCCCAACGUGUACUGGAGCCAUUUAUCCUAACUAAAUCCUAACAAAACAAAGUCGGGAACAAUGGAUAAAAGCCAUAAAGAGAACAGAACUAAAAUUAAAAUAUGAAAGAAUAUGCAAUAAACAUUGUAUAAGUGGAAAGCCAGCCACUUUAAAAAGAUAUUCCAAACCAAAACAUGGGUAACCAAAGCAGACAAUAAAAAGAAAAGGUGAUCUAGAAUGCAAGAAAAGAGCCCAUGAAAGAAGUAAAUGUAAAGAAAAUAAUGCCGAGACUUCUCUCGACCAUGAACAAACACCAGAUAUUUUAUAUAUGUAGAAAAAGGAAAAACUGCUGGAACUUUAAUUUAAAGGCUUUUGACUAGUGAAGAUUUGGAUAAACAACCGGAGUUACUUUGGGCUAUAAUAGCUACGUGCAAAUUUAUUUUCUUGUGGCUUCCUAUGUUUAUUCUUAUUAACUAUACACUUUGAUAUGUUUUUAGUCGCAUGAAGAUUUUAUAGUUUAUUAUUUUAUGUAUAGUGUUAUAUUUGUGUUGAAUAAACAUUAUUAUUAUUAUUACCUUAAUUUCCACUAAAUAAAUUAACUGUAAUCAAUAAAUCGUUUUUAAUGUUAAUAAAUAAAUUACCAAUAAUGAUUCCCAAAUAUUUUAUUUGUUUGACAACUUCUAUGGGUUGAUUGUGAGAUUAAUAUUGAUGAUAUUAAUAUUUCGUAGUAAUAAUCAAUGCUUUGGUUUAAGAAAUAGACAACUUAGGAUAGAAACAUGAAAGAAUAGAAAUAUGCUUUAUUGUCAUGGAAAAUUGUACAAUUUUAUAGACAAUGCUUACAGAGUCAUAAAAAAAUACAAAACACUAACAAACACAAAAAUUAAUAACAAGUUUAACUUGAAUUGGUGCUCUACACUACAAGGAUACUAGUGAGGGAAAAACACUUUCAAACCCAAUGAUAACAAAAACUUUCCAUAGAAGGCCACAAUUUUUUAAAUCAAUCAUAUUUUCUUUUAAUUGUAAAUGGCGAUCAUAUUCUACUGCUUAUUAUUUUUUUCUGUUAUAACACCCUGUGUAGCAUAUAUUCAAGUAUUGUUAUACUUGGUAUUAGA